UACGAAGGGGGCUAGCGUUGCUCGGAAUCACUGGGCGUAAAGCGUGCGCAGGCGGUUGUGCAAGACCGAUGUGAAAGCCCCGGGCUUAACCUGGGAAUGGCAUUGGUGACUGCACGGCUAGAGUGUGUCAGAGGGGGGUAGAAUUCCACGUGUAGCAGUGAAAUGCGUAGAGAUGUGGAGGAAUACCGAUGGCGAAGGCAGCCCCCUGGGAUAACACUGACGCUCAUGCACGAAAGCGUGGGGAGCAAACAGG
rnacentral:rRNA from 1 species